rnacentral:rRNA from 1 species
GAUGAACGCUGGCGGCGUGCCUAAUACAUGCAAGUCGAGCGAACAGACGAGGACCUUGCUCCUCUGACGUUAGCGGCGGACGGGUGAGUAACAUGUGGAUAACCCACCUAUAAGACUGGGAUAACUUCGGGAAACCGGAGCUAAUACCGGACAAUAUAUUGAACCGCAUGGUUCAAUAGUGAAAGACGGCUUUGCUGUCUCUGAUAGAUGGAUCUGCGCCGCAUUAGCUAGUUGGUAAGGUAACGGCCUACCAAGGCAACGAUGCGUAGCCGACCUGAGAGGCUGAUCGGCGGCCCUGGAGCUGGACCGCCGUCACUGCUCCUGAGAGACGGCGCAGUCUGGUAUCUUCCGCAAUGGGCGAAAACAUGGCGGAGCGGCGCCGCGUGAGUUAUGAAGGUCUUCGGUUCGUGAAGCCCUCUUACGAGGGAAAAACCUAUUUGUAAGUAACUGAGCACGUCUUGACGGUACCUACACAGAAAGCCCCGGCUAACUACGUG